AGCAGCCGCGGUAAUUCCAGCUCCAAUAGCGUAUAUUAAAGUUGUUGCAGUUAAAAAGCUCGUAGUUGAAUUUCGGGAUCAAUACGUCGGUCGUGCUUUCGGGUACGUACUGGCGUCAUUGGUUUCUCCUUUCUGACGAACCAUGAUGUCAUUAAUUUGGUGUUAUGGGGAUUAGGACUGUUACUUUAGAAAAAAUUGAGUGUUUAAAGCAGGCAUUAGCUUGAAUACAUUAGCAUGGAAUAAUGAAAUAGGACGUUCGAUCCUAUUUUGUUGGUUUCUAGGAUCAAGUAAUGAUUAAUAGGGAUA
rnacentral:rRNA from 1 species